rnacentral:rRNA from 1 species
GAAGGACGUUACUAACGACGAUAUGCUUUGGGGAGCUGUAAGUAAGCUUUGAUCCAGAGAGUUCCGAAUGGGGAAACCCAGCAUGAGUUAUGUCAUGUUAUCGAUAUGUGAAUACAUAGCAUAUCAGAAGGCACACCCGGAGAACUGAAACAUCUUAGUACCCGGAGGAAGAGAAAGAAAAUUCGAUUCCCUUAGUAGCGGCGAGCGAAACGGGAAGAGCCCAAACCAACAAGCUUGCUUGUUGGGGUUGUAGGACACUCUAUACGGAGUUACAAAGGACGACAUUAGACGAAUCAUCUGGAAAGAUGAAUCAAAGAAGGUAAUAAUCCUGUAGUCGAAAAUGUUGUCUCUCUUGAGUGGAUCCUGAGUACGACGGAGCACGUGAAAUUCCGUCGGAAUCUGGGAGGACCAUCUCCUAAGGCUAAAUACUCUCUAGUGACCGAUAGUGAACCAGUACCGUGAGGGAAAGGUGAAAAGCACCCCGGAAGGGGAGUGAAAUAGAACCUGAAACCGUGUGCUUACAAGUAGUCAGAGCCCGUUAAUGGGUGAUGGCGUGCCUUUUGUAGAAUGAACCGGCGAGUUACGAUUUGAUGCAAGGUUAAGCAGUAAAUGUGGAGCCGUAGCGAAAGCGAGUCUGAAUAGGGCGUUUAGUAUUUGGUCGUAGACCCGAAACCAGGUGAUCUACCCUUGGUCAGGUUGAAGUUCAGGUAACACUGAAUGGAGGACCGAACCGACUUACGUUGAAAAGUGAGCGGAUGAACUGAGGGUAGCGGAGAAAUUCCAAUCGAACCUGGAGAUAGCUGGUUCUCUCCGAAAUAGCUUUAGGGCUAGCCUCAAGUGAUGAUUAUUGGAGGUAGAGCACUGUUUGGACGAGGGGCCCCUCUCGGGUUACCGAAUUCAGACAAACUCCGAAUGCCAAUUAAUUUAACUUGGGAGUCAGAACAUGGGUGAUAAGGUCCGUGUUCGAAAGGGAAACAGCCCAGACCACCAGCUAAGGUCCCAAAAUAUAUGUUAAGUGGAAAAGGAUGUGGCGUUGCCCAGACAACUAGGAUGUUGGCUUAGAAGCAGCCAUCAUUUAAAGAGUGCGUAAUAGCUCACUAGUCGAGUGACACUGCGCCGAAAAUGUACCGGGGCUAAACAUAUUACCGAAGCUGUGGAUUGUCCUUUGGACAAUGGUAGGAGAGCGUUCUAAGGGCGUUGAAGCAUGAUCGUAAGGACAUGUGGAGCGCUUAGAAGUGAGAAUGCCGGUGUGAGUAGCGAAAGACGGGUGAGAAUCCCGUCCACCGAUUGACUAAGGUUUCCAGAGGAAGGCUCGUCCGCUCUGGGUUAGUCGGGUCCUAAGCUGAGGCCGACAGGCGUAGGCGAUGGAUAACAGGUUGAUAUUCCUGUACCACCUAUAAUCGUUUUAAUCGAUGGGGGGACGCAGUAGGAUAGGCGAAGCGUGCGAUUGGAUUGCACGUCUAAGCAGUAAGGCUGAGUAUUAGGCAAAUCCGGUACUCGUUAAGGCUGAGCUGUGAUGGGGAGAAGACAUUGAGUCUUCGAGUCGUUGAUUUCACACUGCCGAGAAAAGCCUCUAGAUAGAAAAUAGGUGCCCGUACCGCAAACCGACACAGGUAGUCAAGAUGAGAAUUCUAAGGUGAGCGAGCGAACUCUCGUUAAGGAACUCGGCAAAAUGACCCCGUAACUUCGGGAGAAGGGGUGCUCUUUAGGGUUAACGCCCAGAAGAGCCGCAGUGAAUAGGCCCAAGCGACUGUUUAUCAAAAACACAGGUCUCUGCUAAACCGUAAGGUGAUGUAUAGGGGCUGACGCCUGCCCGGUGCUGGAAGGUUAAGAGGAGUGGUUAGCUUCUGCGAAGCUACGAAUCGAAGCCCCAGUAAACGGCGGCCGUAACUAUAACGGUCCUAAGGUAGCGAAAUUCCUUGUCGGGUAAGUUCCGACCCGCACGAAAGGCGUAACGAUUUGGGCACUGUCUCAACGAGAGACUCGGUGAAAUCAUAGUACCUGUGAAGAUGCAGGUUACCCGCGACAGGACGGAAAGACCCCGUGGAGCUUUACUGUAGCCUGAUAUUGAAAUUCGGCACAGCUUGUACAGGAUAGGUAGGAGCCUUUGAAACGUGAGCGCUAGCUUACGUGGAGGCGCUGGUGGGAUACUACCCUAGCUGUGUUGGCUUUCUAACCCGCACCACUUAUCGUGGUGGGAGACAGUGUCA